GCGUGAAGUAAUGUGAAUUGCAGGACACAUUGAACAUCGACAUCUUGAACGCACAUUGCGGCCUCGGGCAUUCCCGAGGCCACGCCUGUCUCAGGGUCGGUUGAACUUAUCAAUCGUCGGUUGACCGUAUUUGCCGACGCAUUGGAUCGUCGCGGCUCGCGCUGACCGUAAAGGCGCGAUCGGCAUUGACCGUAUUUGUCGAUCGCGCUGCGCAGCCACGUCGUCCGAAGUACAGACGGGUCCAAAGCUUUGCCGACCGCAUGUCCUAAGUCCGCCUGUCGGACGGGGACGGCGACUCGGACCGUAAAGAGAAGCCGUCGCCUGUUCAUUGGCGGUACGGUUGGUAAAGCUGAGGAACCACGAAGCGGAAAACGCGAGCGUCCAACGUCGUAUUCGGAACGACGCCGACGGCGGCCUCUUUACGUUGAGGUUCGUCUGAGGUUCGUCCGCUGUCGACCGCGGCUGCAAGCGUUCAUCUUCUUCGACCUGAGAUCAGACGAGAUUACCCGCUGAAUUUAAGCAUAU
rnacentral:misc_RNA from 1 species